UACGUAGGGUGCAGGCGUUAAUCGGAAUUACUGGGCGUAAAGCGUGCGCAGGCGGUUUGCUAAGAGAGAUGUGAAAUCCCCGGGCUUAACCUGGGAACUGCGUUUCUAACUGGCAGGCUUGAGUGUGGCAGAGGGGGGUGGAAUUCCACGUGGUAGCAGGUGAAAUGCGUAGAGAUGUGGAGGAACACCGAUGGCGAAGGCAGCCCCCUGGGCUAACCACGUGACGCUCAUGCACGAAAGCGUAGGGGAGCGAAACAGG
rnacentral:rRNA from 1 species